rnacentral:rRNA from 1 species
UACGGGGGGGCAAGCGUUGUUCGGAAUUAUUGGGCGUAAAGAGCUCGUAGGCGGUUUGUCGCGUCUGCCGUGAAAGUCCGGGGCUCAACUCCGGAUCUGCGGUGGGUACGGGCAGACUAGAGUGAUGUAGGGGAGACUGGAAUUCCUGGUGUAGCGGUGAAAUGCGCAGAUAUCAGGAGGAACACCGGUGGCGAAGGCGGGUCUCUGGGCCGAUACUGACGCUGAGGAGCGAAAGCGUGGGGAGCGAACAGG